rnacentral:rRNA from 1 species
UGGCGGACGGGUGAGUAACGCGUGGGUAACCUGCCUUACACAGGGGGAUAACACUUAGAAAUAGGUGCUAAAACCGCAUAAGCGCACAGCUUCGCAUGAAGCGGUGUGAAAAACUCCGGUGGUGUAAGAUGGACCCGCGUCUGAUUAGCUUGUUGGCGGGGUAACGGCCCACCAAGGCGACGAUCAGUAGCCGGCCUGAGAGGGCGGACGGCCACAUUGGCACUGAGACACGGCCCAGACUCCUACGGGAGGCAGCAG